UUUGAAACCCUUGUCUGUUGAAUCCUGUGGACUUCCUAUCCCUAUGGACUUCCUAUACACUCCCAGCUCCAAAACAACCAAAUGCCCAACCUCUGACAUUAUUACCCCCCUAGUCCUACUUCUAGUGUCAUUGGCCUUCAUUUUCCCUUUUGACAAAGUCCUUCCUCCACCCAUGCCUUCCUGUCAUCGAUGACUGCCUUGUCUCCUUGAGUAGAAAGGUACUUGAGCAGAGAAAGAAGGCAGAGGAAGAGGAAGCGAGAUGGAGUGAGAGGCAGAAGCAGAGAGAGAAGAAGCUUGCGAAGGUGGUUUCGAAGCGCGCCCAGGCCAACGACACCCACGUGCCCCUCUCUCAGACCAACCAGUCCAAGCUCAAGCAGUUCAGAAAGCAGGACUUUCAGCGCAGGAAGGAGUACAAGGAGGAGAUGAGGGAGAUCCAGGAGAGAGUGAAGGGGAGGCCUCUGCUGUUGGAGCAGGUCGCACAGAUGAAUGCCAAACAUGCUGCAGAGAAGCACUACACAGACACCCUGCGAGGCUGUGGAGUGAGUGAGGACUUUGUCAGUGGCAAGGUGCCCAAGUCCCAGCGGCCAGGUGGCCAAGACUCUGCAUGCCGGACCUCCUUCUCCAGUGACUCCAAACAAAGUGACAAGGAUGAGACAGAUACACCAGCUAUUUACAACACGGUCUUCCAGGAUGACUACCCAGACAAUUAUGAAGACAGCUUUGCUGACCAAGAACUGGAAGGAGAGCAGGAGGCUGAGAAAGAUGAAUUAAAGUCCAUGAAAGAGGAGGAUGAAGGCCAUGACAAAGUAGGGCGGGAGAGGGAGGACAUUGGGCAUUAUUCAGAUGAUUGUGAUUAUUCAGAUGACCAUUACUCAGAUGAUGAUGACCAUUACUCAGAUGCCAGUGAGCAUUACUUGCCCCUGGACGAUGAAAAGAAUGAAGGGAGUGACAUCAUCAAAAGGCCCAAGAGUACAGAGAGCAGCCCAAGCUAUAGAAGCGGCCAGUACAGCCGAAACAGUCAGAAGUCAGAGAGUGAUAGGGUAGAACACCACAAUAGCGGACAAGAAAAAUGACGAGGAUGACUGAAAAGUCAAAGGAGUGCAUUUUCUCACACGUAGGCGGACUACAUUGUGCGCAAACGUCUACAACACUGACACAGUGGUAGAGAUGCUUCUACUAUAAAAUAGGCUAAAUGUAUGGUAGGAUAUCGUCGAUGUGUGUGUGUAUGUGUAUAUAAUGUAUAUAUAUAUAUGUGUGUAUAUAUAUAUGUAUAUAAUAUAUAUAUAUACAUAUAUAUUAUUGUGUAUAUAUAAUAUUAUGUGUAGUAUGUAUAGUAUAUAGAUGUGUAUAUAUAUAGAUAUAUUAUAUAUAUAUAUAUAUAAUAUAUAUAUAUAUAUAUAUAUAUAUAUAUAAUAUAUAUAUUAUAUAUAUAUAUA
rnacentral:lncRNA from 1 species